GUUGCCAAAUAGUCUGAAAGACGCAAGGAAGCAGAUUACUGAAAUGUCAGCAAGGGAUUUGCCAUUAACACCAUGAAACACCUUAGAUCAGAUUAAAUAAGGCAGGCGCGUGCUGAACAUUACACUGCAUGAGCUACAGCUCAGCUUCUCCAUCUGCCAAAGCAAAGGGUUUCACGCAGCAGCCACCUAUAGCACUGCAUCAUUUCUUUCAGUCUUGAACGGCAGAGGAUGAGAGAAGCGGUCCAGCUGCGACCCGCAGACCGGCAUCUUCCAGACAAAGUGGAAAGUGAGGACGGCAGUUUGUCUGUACUGAGCACCCAGCGCACACAGCGAGCGGUGCACCAGCGCCAUAAUCAUUAGCGGUGCAAGAGCGCCACGACUUGGAUUGAACUAUCAAUUAGCAAGUCACGUCCAGAAAACGUUCUACUAGGCUCCAGAAUCAAUUAGCAAGUCACGUCCGGAAAGCGUUCCACUAGGCUCCAGAAUCAAUUAGCAAGUCACGUCCGGAAAGCGUUCCACUAGGCUCCAGAAUCAAUUAGCAAGUCACGUCCGGAAAGCGUUCCACUAGGCUCCAGAAUCAAUUAGCAAGUCACGUCCGGACAGCGUUCCACUAGGCUCCAGAAUCAAUUAGCAAGUCACGUUCGGAAAACGUUCCACUAGGCUCCAGAACAAUUAGCAAGUCACGUCCGGAAAACGUUCCACUAGGCUCCAGAAUCAAUUAGCAAGUCACGUUCGGAAAACGUUCCACUAGGCUCCAGAAUCAAUUAGCAAGUCACGUUCGGAAAACGUUCCACUAGGCUCCAGAAUCAAUUAGCAAGUCACGUUCGGAAAACGUUCCACUAGGCUCCAGAAUCAAUUAGCAAGUCACGUCCGGAAAGCGUUCCACUAGGCUCCAGAACAAUUAGCAAAUCGCGUCUGGAAAGUGUUCUACCAGGCUCCAGAAUCAAUUAGCAAGUCACGUCCGGAAAGCGUUCCACUAGGCUCCAGAACCAAUUAGCAAGUCACGUUUGGAAAGCGUUCCACUAGGCUCCAGAACCAAUUAGCAAGUCACGUUUGGAAAGCGUUCCACUAGGCUCCAGAACCAAUUAGCAAGUCACGUUUGGAAAGCGUUCCACUAGGCUCCAGAAUCAAUUAGCAAGUCACGUUUGGAAAGCGUUCCACUAAGCUCCAGAACCAAUUAGCAAGUCACGUUUGGAAAGCGUUCCACUAGGUUACAGAACCAAUUAGCAAGUCACGUUUGGAAAGCGUUCCACUAGGUUACAGAACCAAUUAGCAAGUCACGUUUGGAAAGCGUUCCACUAGGUUACAGAAUCAAUUAGCAAGUCACGUCCGGAAAGCGUUCCACUAGGUUACAGAAUCAAUUAGCAAGUCACGUCCGGAAAGCGUUCCACUAGGCUCCAGAAUCAAUUAGCAAGUCACGUCCGGAAAGCAUUCCACUAGGCUCCAGAAUCAAUUAGCAAGUCACGUUUGGAAAGCGUUCCACUAGGCUCCAGAACCAAUUAGCAAGUCACGUUUGGAAAGCGUUCCACUAGGCUCCAGAACCAAUUAGCAAGUAAUUCCCAGAAAGUGCUCCGCUAGGCUGCAGACAGCACUCUCGAUGAAAGGGUGGCCCGUAACUGCCACACUCAAGUACAGAGCCAGCUAGCUCGGACCUGUAAUAUC